UUUUUUUUUUUUUAAAUGGAGUCUCCCUCUGUCGCCCAGGCUGGAGUGCAGUGGCGCGACCUCGGCUCACUGCAACCCAGAGGAGUCAAUUCUUAAAGGUUCCUAACACAGCCUGAGUUUGAAGCUUAGGGUAUUGAUUGGCCCUGCCCGAAGCGUCAGUGAGAACCCCUGGGCUUUGAACCUCCGCAGGGCUGUGAACCAAGAGCAGAUGCUGCAGUUCUUCCCCUCAAAGCCUCCAAAAAAGCAUCAUGAGAAAUAAAGGAACUGUGCAUCCUGGGACAAAAUGUCCCCCGCAACUUCCGGGGCGCCAUUCACAGGAAACCAGCGUGGACGCCCCUGGGCAGGCCUCCGGGAGCAAGAAAGCUUUUUUCAAGAUAUGAGGACGGACGAUUUUCCUGAGGCGCAGACCGUAGUGAGCUUCCGGGGAGAAGGGCUGUUUCCUGUCUUGGGCGUGGAAGCGGAUCAACCCACUGAAUCUGAGAGGACGUGGGUAGCGGUCUGUAAACGGGACUUAAUUCUGUUCCUCAUCCACCCAGAACCCUCCCUGAGGUCCUCCCCUGCACUUUGGAAACAGCCCAAGCUUUGAAAUCAGGAAGUUUGAAGACUGGUUCUGCUACUUCCAGGCUGUGUGGCCUUGGGUAAGUUGCUUACGCGCUCUGCUCAGGUUGCGCAUUUGUGGAACCAGUUAAUUAUGUAACCGGCUGAGUUCCCGCACUGAAUAGGAGAAGUCGGCCUUUCUUGGUAGAUGCUAUGCCUGCGUGUGUGGGGUUGAAGGAAAAGAGGAAAAUGAGAAGGACCAAGAUUGACCUGACUUGAUUUACAGGAAAGAAGAGAGAGUUGCUGGAGGAAGAAGGACGCAUCCACUGGAAAAGGAUGAGAAAAAGGAGAGAGAGAGAGAGAAGUCAGAGGCUGGGUUGGGAGUGAAUUUGGGAGAUUGUGGAGGAAAAGGGGAGAGAGAUUUGUGGGGUAGCUGUAGGACAUGCGCCUGUAUUUAGAAGGGGAGAGAGUUGGGAGACUUUGUGGGAUUAUUAAAUUUACCUUUAGCAUUUGUAGAGAGCAUCCCAUUAAAUACGCCAAUGGCUUUAUCAAACAGGUUGUUUAAAAUCAUUCUUGCAUCCAAGAAUAAAAUAAGAACAGAAAUAUCCAGAAGCCUGUUAGCAGUCCCCGCCGUGGCUCCAUUCUCACUCCCAGCUGUCAACUCCAUGAGGUCAAGGACUCUAACACAACUGGGUCGUUGGCGGCUCGCAGCCGUGGCUGCUGGCAUGGGAAAGAUGCCAAUCAUAUGUGUCAUUGAAUUUAUUGCUUUCUGUGGUUUGAAGCCUGAAAAAGUUAAGAGAGAGUUACAGCCUCCUUUGACGUUAUUGUCAUCGAUCAUGAGCCCCGUGAGGUGGGAUGUGGAGGUGGUCACUCUCUGGGAAUCUCUGAGAUGAGCACACAUUAACUUUCUAGAAGCAUCUGUACAGAGCCCAUUUAUGCCAUUCAAAGCUUCCUGAAUCCAAAGGAAACCUCGUAAAAAGUCAGCUAAAACACUUGAGCAUUUAGAAACAUUUCCUGAUCUUUUGGUUCUAGCAAAUAGCACAGUGGAAAAAAUAAAUACCUUGAAGUUGAAGGAAAUGCCUUUGUUUAUACCCACAGAUCUCCUGUGGGUAUAACCAUUGUGAAUUGACAAGGUUUAAUAUUUGAUACAAGCAUCGUGAACACAUAUUGUUAAUCCUCCUUUUUUCUUUAAUAUAAUAUUCAGUUGCUUAGUGGUCCCUAAAGUGCAGGGGGGUAGUUUUAUAUAGGAAUUAUAUUUGGAAAUAGAGUCAGAGGAAUUCAUGAAGAUUGAACCACUGGUUUUUGUUUGUUUGUUUGUUUGAGACGGAGUCUUGCUCUGUUGCCAGGCUGGAG
rnacentral:lncRNA from 1 species